ACAACCAUCACUCCUUACUCGCAGCUAAAAUAUAAAUUGUUAACCUUGUAUGAAUUCUGAAUCUUGCUACAGCAGAACUUUGAAAUUGAAAUUCAUUCUAAGAUGCAAAUGGAUGUGAAGUUCCAAACCCUAGCAUCGCAACAGCCGCAGGAAUCACUGACGCUGACGAGCCCUAACACAAACAACUAUCCGCCUCCUCAGUCAUCCGCGGCGGAGGCGCCUCCAAAGCAGGUGGCGCUGGCGAUGGAGAGACUUACACAAGCAGCUCGUCACAUAGCGGACGUUCGGCUCGGCGCCGACCGCCUUCUGGAGGCUCUAUUCUUGGCCGCGCAGCCUCACCAGAGCAACAAACAAGACAAUUUGUUCAGCCAAGAAGAUGCCGCAAUGCGUCAGCAUCUCCAAGACCUCCGAUCCAUUGGAAGGCAACUAGAAGAAUCUGGAGUUUUGAAUGAGCAUCUUCGUUCACGGAGUAAUUCUUGGGGUUUGCAUAUGCCAUUGGUGUGUCCCGAUGGUGCGGUGGUUGCCUAUGCUUGGAAACGCCAGCUCGCUGGUCAGGCUGGUGCCUCCGCUGUUGACAGAACAAGGUUAGCUCUCAAGGCCUUCACAGAUCAGAAAAAGCGAUUUUUUCCUCACCUUAAUGACAAGCCAGAUGAUCAUAGUAGUGAACCAGCAUCCAAAAAACAGUGUGGUUCCCAAGUACUACCUGCCGAAGAGCUUAAUGACUGCAAAACAUUAUCAGAUGUUCUAAUGAGUCUGGACAAAGAAGUGCCAAAUUUGAAAAUUUUCACCUAUGAACGACUAGAUUGGUUAAAAAGAGCUUCUUCAUUGCCAAGUUCAGCAAAUGAGAGUCCCAUUGAAUUAUUGAAAGAGCAUAAUUUUCAUAGUUCAAAUAAGUUAAGACCAGGAUUGCAGAAUACUAUUGCUGCAGACAAGGUUGCUGUAAUUGAGUUGUUGUUUCCUUCUGUUUUCAGAGCUAUAGUUUCGUUGCAUCCAGUUGGUUCUACUGAGCCAGAUGCAGUCGCUUUCUUUUCUCCAGAUGAGGGAGGCAACUACAUACACGCUAGGGGUUCUUCAGUUUAUCAGACAUUUAGACGCAUCACGGUAAUAGCCCUUAUAAUUAAACAAGUUUCUCCACUCCCCUUCAGGAGCAUGCUAUUAUGGCGCUACAAUAUUUUCUUGGGACCAGGACUGAAACAUCUCUUUAUUAUCUUUUGCACUGGAUCUGCACGUAUCAAACUCUAUUUUCUAAGGCUUGCAGUAAGUGUGGACGGCUACUGACAAUGGACAAGCAGUUGGCUCUAUUACUACCUCCCGUUAAUCGCCCUUAUAGGCAUUUCUUUCCUUUGGUAACUACAUCAACACAACAUGUUUCAUCCACAACAAAGAACCAGAACGUGGAUGUCUCCACUGCCUAUCAUGUUGGUUGCUAUUCAGAGGAUGCUUAGUUAUAUCAAUUAUCUCGGUCAGUGGACAGGGUAGAAAUUGUCAGCUAAUGUAAAAUGUAUCAGAAAAAUGUUAAUGUAAGUUUCACUCAAUUUAAUCUUGGUGUUUAUGAUAAUUUUCAGGAUGUUGAUAGUUUUAGAAACUUUGAAAUGAUUCGCUUAUCGUUACUGCCUCUCUUAGUUUCUUAAAUCUUGUAAGGACUUUAAGAUACAUUUCCAAUUUUAGUUUUGUGGCGGGGAUCUGUUCUUUUUU